AUGGAAUCACAGACCCAGGUCCUCAUGUCCCUGCUUCUCUGGGUGUCUGGUGAGAAAUUCAAAAGUGCCUGUGCAGACACUGUGAUGACCCAGUCUCCUUCCUCCCUGGCUGUGUCAGCAGGAGAGAAGGUCACCAUCAGCUGCAAGUCCAGUCAGAAUCUUUUUUACAGUGAAAACAAGAAGAACUACUUAGCCUGGUACCAGCAGAAACCAGGGCAAUCUCCUAAACUGCUGAUCUACUGGGCAUCCACUCGGAACACUGGGGUCCCUGAUCGAUUCAUAGGCAGUGGGUCUGGGACAGAUUUCACUCUCACCAUCAGCAGUGUUCAGGCUGAAGAUCUUGGAGAUUACUACUGUAUGCAGGAUUAUUACUUUCCUCCCACAGUGCUUCAGCCUCCAACAGAAACCUCCUCUGAGAGUCUCAGCAGCUGCCUGCACCACACACAGCCCUGGACCUGCAUUCUUCCCCUUUCUGCCUGA